UGCGGAAGAUCAUUGUCGAACCUGCAAGCAGACCGCGAACACGUGUUUAACCGUGUCCGUGGCCGUGGCGUGGGGGCGCGUCCCCCCCGCCGCGGUCGCGGCUCCCCGCCGGUGCUUGCGCUGUGCGGGCUAACGAACCCCGGCGCGGAACGCGCCAAGGAAAACCAAAACAAAGCGCCCUCCCUCGUCCCGUGCCCCGUCCGCGGUGUGCACAAACGGGGGGAAGGUCGCCCCUCACUUAUGUCAAAACAACUCUCGGCAACGGAUAUCUCGGCUCUCGCUUCAAUGAAAACCGUACCGAAAUGCAAUACUGGGUGUGAAUUGCAGGAUCCCGUGAACCAUCGAGUNNUUGAACGCAAGUUGCGCCCGAAGCCUUCGGGCCGAGGGCACGCCUGCCUGGGCGUCACGCAUCGCGUCACCCCCCUCCCCCUCUCCGACGGAGCGGGCGGGGCGGGGGUGGAGAAUGGCCUCCCGUGCGCCCCGUCGCGCGGCCGGCCCAAAUGCGAUCCCCCGGCGACGCCAGUCGCGACCAGUGGUGGUUGGAUCCUCAACUCGCGUGCUGUCAGUCGUGCAGAACGGCGUCGUCCGGACGGGCAUCACCAACGACCCCAUCGGCGCCUCGGCGCUCCGACCGCGACCCCAGGUCAGGCGGAUUACCCG
rnacentral:rRNA from 1 species